AAGCAGGAGGGACGGGAGGCUCCCUGAGUGCCCGCGCCAGCCCUCCCGUGCAGCGGUGGGCACCCCUGGCCGGCGCCCCAGGGCAGGGGCCCUGGCGGGGGCAGUGCAAGAAGGCACGCGAGUGAAUGCCAGCCGUGAGCUGGUUUUAAAAGCUCCUUCGAUGGUGCCUUAAACAUUUUCCUUUUGAAGAAGCCACCACCUUUCAACAGGUCUGAGAGCUGACUGAAGAGGCUGCUCAGGUUGCCACUUCUCUGCAGCUGCUCUAGAAGGAUUUAUAGGUUCCUCUGUGCUCAGACAACUGCUGCCUCCCCUUUCUCAAGCAGAUGUGCACCAAUUUUAGCUUCAGUAACUGUUGCCAUUGUGGACACCCUCAGAAUGACAGAAGAGGCAAAAUCAAUAGGAACUGGACACAGGGAGAGAGGAAUUUCGGUGAUGGAUAGAAGCUCAGUACUAGGUUGGGGUUUGUUACAUGUGUGGGUGCGAUUCAACUCCAAAUUCAAAUACAUACUUUUAGUCAUCUUCAUGCCCAAAUGAAUCUGUAGCCAAUUUUAAUCCAGGUCAAAGACUGCAUGCACCAGCAAAAUGAGACAACAUACGGAGUCAUUGAAAUACCUGAAACUCAUACUGAAUUCCAGUUCUCAGACAACAUAACUGCAUUAAACACAUGAAAGAAAUGCUGCUUUAUACUCAGGAUUACAGUGCCAUCACAGAGACACAGUCAGCUGAGAGAAGAGGAGGAAGGAAUUUCCUCACUUUCUUAUCCAGACCUCUGAGUAGGAGAUGCUGAGAGAGGAGCACA